ensembl:snRNA U1 U1 spliceosomal RNA
GUACUUAGUUGGUAGGGGAGAUACCAGGACCACGAAGCUGGUUUUCCCAGGGCAAGGCUCAUCCACUGCUCUUUGGGGGUGCUGACCCCUGAAAUUUCUCCAAAUGUGGGAAACUUGAUGGCACAAAUUAUGGGAGUGGUGUGCUGUUUUUGUGCUUUCCCUUG